rnacentral:misc_RNA from 1 species
GAUGAAGAACGCAGCGAAAUGCGAUAAGUAAUGUGAAUUGCAGAAUUCAGUGAAUCAUCGAAUCUUUGAACGCACAUUGCGCCCUCUGGUAUUCCGGGGGGCAUGUCUGUUCGAGCGUCAUUAUAACCACUCAAGCUCUCGCUUGGUAUUGGGGUUCGCGGUUCCGCGGCCCCUAAAAUCAGUGGCGGUGCCUGUCGGCUCUACGCGUAGUAAUACUCCUCGCGAUUGAGUCCGGUAGGUCUACUUGCCAGCAACCCCCAAUUUUUACAGGUUGACCUCGGAUCAGGUAGGGAUACCCGCUGAACUUAAGCAUAUCAAUAAGCGGAGGA